rnacentral:lncRNA from 10 species
AAAGAGCCUAGCCACGGGCGCUGACUGGCCGGCAGCCGGGCGCGUCAUCCUCCGGGGGCGGGGCCCGGGCCGCAUUGUCUCGUCUAGGGCCGGCUGGACGCCCCAGAGGCCGGACCUGGGCAACCCCAGCCUGGAGGUGCCGGGGCCGGAGCUCCCAGAGGGCUGGGUGCGAGGCCUAGGCGGGGUCAGGUUCGGGUUCCUAGGCCAUAGCGGAGCUGCAGCCCAGGCGGCCGGAGCGGAACCCAGCCCCGCUCCGAGUGCCACGUCUCCAGGAACCCCCUCCUUACUCUUGGACAACACUCCGCCCCCGCCCGGGCCUCCGUCCCCCAAACCGCCCUCAUUUGUGCAGCGCCAGAUCCUUCGGACACAUCCCUAGGUGUCUCCAUCCUCAUUCGGUCCAUCCAACUCCCAGACCUCACGUCAACCGGCUGCACCCCACUUUCCAGCCUGCGCCCCAGAUCUGCAGCCUUCGCCCCUAGAUACACCCGCCUGGUGAUGAGGCGCUCCUCGCGUUCCUUCCGGUAACCGCGUUGCGAAGACCACGCUGCCGGGUUGCAAACUUGGGGGGACUUCCUCCCUCCCCUCCCCCUGGGCGCCGUGCAACUGCCCUGGGACCGGGUUCUGGGAUGAGGGGGGCAGACCGGGCUCCCCAGCGGCCGGCGCAGCACGUAGCGCACGUGUAGGGUCCGCUCCCCACCCCCUCGCCGCCUCUGACAACUUUUCAGGGCUCCAGGUGUCCGUGAGCCUCCCUUCCGCCCUGGCCUCCGGUCUCUGCCUUGCUCGUGCUUCUACCACCACCCUUCCCCUCCCAACCCGGUGGAUCCUCUCGUCUCCCCCAGUCUCCAGUGCACCGGCUUUCCCUCGUCCUCUGCGCAGUCCAUCUCAGCUCAUCUCUCCAAUUCAAUGCCAUCAUCUCUCCUCACCAUCUCUCGGUGCCCUGGAAUGUUUGCUGUCAGAUGUCCCCUGUGAAACCCACAAACGCUUGCGAUUUGGCCUCCUUGUUUUAUUUUGUGUAGUCCUACAACGUCUUGUUACUACCCCCUAUUACAACACUUAUAACUCAGUA